ACAGUACUCCCUCUGUCUCAAAAUUCUUGUCUUAGAAUUGUCUAGAUACGGAUGUAUCUAAUACUAAAACGUGACUUGAUACAUCCGUAUUUAGACAAAUCUAAGACAAGAAUUUUGAGACGGAGGGAGUACUUC
rfam:Triticum urartu cultivar G1812 contig827708, whole genome shotgun sequence.